rnacentral:lncRNA from 1 species
AACAUUUAUGAAAAUCUAACAGGCUGAAUACCAAAGUUCACUGUGGUCCUUCCCCAUCUUGUGGUUUUUGCAUCUUACUGCAAAACUUCUGUGUUUGCUUCUGCGAAAGAAAGACAACUGAAGGAUCAUGUUCCAGCUGAUAAAUGCUUUGUUCACCGGCUUCUGGCCAGAAGUCAUCGAAUAGUUCACUCAACCAAACCACAGGAGGCUGGGGAAUACGUGAGAGCAAGCACAUGGCCAUGUGAUGACUAGGGAACAUCUCAGCCACGGUAACCUUUCUCAGGGUUCUUUAGUUUCCUUAUAUUAUUGUUUCCUAAGGAAUUUUUCAAGCAGGGUUUACUGGGUGAACAAAAGGGUUUCACCUUUCACCAAUCAAAGAGGAACAUGAAACUCUCAAGCAGCCCUCCCUGUUGAUGAACUAGGCUGAAUGGUGACGCAAAGAUGAUUCGUGGCUUUUCAGCUGUGUGAAAUAUGAAGUUCCACUCUUGUCACACAGGCUGGAGUGCAAUGGCACAAUCUCGGUUCACUGUAACCUCCACCUCCCCAGUUCAAGUGAUUCUCCUGUCUCAGCCUCCCCAGUAGCUGGGAUUUCAGGUGCCUGCUACCAUGUCCAGCUAAAUUUUGUAUUUGAAUUCCUGCCCUCAGACCAUCUGCCCACCUGGGACUUCCAAGACUCAACAUUUUGUGCUUCAUUAUGUCAUAUUUUCUAUUUAGUAGAAUUAUUUCUUUAAAUUUUCAAUUAAAUCUUAUAUUUAAAACAAAUUAUAUUAGACCUACUGUUUGAGUUCCUGAAAAGAUUAUAUAGGUUAAAAAGAUCAUAUAGUUUUUAAAUGAAAAAAUUAGCAACACUAACAACAUCAGUAUUUUAUCCAAAAAUGUAUAUUUUCAAUUAAAACUCAAAAUAAUGCUGGUGUAUAAUAUAUAUUAUAAAUGAAUACUCAUAUAUGUAUAUUAG